AUACUUACCUGGACGGGGUCUAUGGGUGAUCAAAAAGGCCCAUGGCCUAGAAUGGUGGCCUCCAUUGCACUUAGGAGGUGCACUGAUCUAACAUCUCCUCAAGUGGGAGAGUGUACGUCAUAAUUUGUGACAGUGGGUGCCUGCGUUCGCGCGGCCCCUCC